ensembl:lncRNA
AGAGGCCACAGUGGAAACGGAGCCGUUAAGACGGCAUUCAAGCCGUCGGUAUGAGCCGAGUCAGCCCGUUUCCGCUGUGCCAUUCAGAUCAAAUAAAAGCUCAGCGAUUCGGGGAAGCAGAGCGACCCGUCAGCACAUCCUUCAAUGUGGACGUCCCCGCCGCAGGCCAUCGACCCACUGGCGCGGUGACAGGAGCAAGAGGCUGAGCACUGAGCAUCUCCAGCUGCAGCGAUGCUUCUCGGAACUGACACCGAACAACAAACGCCAAAUGUCCUCAGAAGCACAAUUGAACGCCAGCAGGAAACGGCCGUUCUUGUGAAACCGUUCCAUGCUGGAAUGAUCACUAGCGCAUUCCGAUGGUAAGGCUGCGAUAGGUGGAAGGCAGGAGAACGCAACGUGGGAAACAGAAUUGCUUCAGCGCCUCUUCAAAACACCGCAACGCAGUCUGGGGUUGACAUCACCACCUGUGUCUUUAAACUAAAGAUGCGUCCGCAUGGACUGAAAUCCUUUCGAAAGCGACGGUGAAACGGUCGCGUGGAUGGGAGUCGUUUUUCCGUUUUAAAUCAAAACAUUUUUUAGUGGAUGUAGUGUGGAAUUAUGCUAAACGUUUCAGAUUGAUUUUUUUGUUCCUAUUACCUGGACAGUACUCAAAGUCAUUGAUAAUGAAAAAGACUACAUUUCCUCACCAUUCAGAUUGUUCUUUAUGAUUUGCAAUAUCCCCCAGAGACAGAAUCCACUCUCUUCU